AUUGAACGCUGGCGGCAGGCCUAACACAUGCAAGUCGAGCGGAUGAAGGGAGCUUGCUCCUGGAUUCAGCGGCGGACGGGUGAGUAAUGCCUAGGAAUCUGCCUGGUAGUGGGGGAUAACGUCCGGAAACGGGCGCUAAUACUGCAUACGUCCUGAGGGAGCAAGUGGGGGAUCUUCGGACCUCACGCUAUCAGAUGAGCCUAGGUCGGAUUAGCUAGUUGGUGGGGUAAAGGCCUACCAAGGCGACGAUCCGUAACUGGUCUGAUAGGAGGAUCAGUCACACUGGAACGGAGACACGGUCCAGACUCCUACGGGAGGCAGCAGUGGGGAAUAUUGGACAAUGGGCGAAAGCCUGAUCCAGCCAUGCCGCGUGUGUGAAGAAGGUCUUCGGAUUGUAAAGCACUUUAAGUUGGGAGGAAGGGCAGUAAGUUAAUACCUUGCUGUUUUGACGUUACCAACAGAAUAAGCACCGGCUAACUUCGUG
rnacentral:rRNA from 1 species